CAACAACGUUUCCACACAAUAUCUCACAGGAAGAAGGGAGGUAUAGGCUAGGCCCCACACAUCAUUGCUUCACUGCCAGGCUUUGUCUAUGCAUGAAGAAGAAUGAGCUGAGAAUGAGGCAGCUGCAGUCAGAGCAUCAUUCUCUUGAGAUUCCAAAGCUUAAUUAAUUGAGCUGAACAGUCAGGCUAUGAAUCCAGAAAGCCACAAUGGAGUUUGCAGGA